UUGGGUGUACCUCAGUGGUAGAGCGCUUGCCUAGCAUGUGUGAGGCUACUGGGUUCAAUCCCCAGGACCACAUAAA
rnacentral:tRNA from 1 species